rnacentral:rRNA from 1 species
UGCGUAGGCGGUUUGGUAAGUCUGAUGUGAAAUCUAUGGGCUCAACUCAUAGUCUGCAUCGGAAACUGCCGGGCUUGAGUGUGGGAGAGGUGAGUGGAAUUUCCGGUGUAGCGGUGAAAUGCGUAGAUAUCGGAAGGAACACCUGUGGCGAAAGCGGCUCACUGGACCACAACUGACGCUGAUGCACGAAAGCUAGGGGAGCAAACAGGAUUAGAUACCCUGGUAGUCCUAGCCCUAAACGAUGACUGCUUGGUGUGACGGGUACCCAAUCCCGCCGUGCCGUAGCUAACGCGUUAAGCAGUCCGCCUGGGGAGUACGGUCGCAGGCUGAA